AUUUAAUGAAUUUUGAUUAACUGGUUAUAUAUGAUUAGUAUCAUCUUAUUUUGUAGUGGACUAAAAUUAUUAUGAAGAAAUGUACACAAAUGACAGAAUGUACAGAAAUGACUACAAAUGACACAUCUUGUUUAACAGGAAAAGUCAACAGAAGCAAUGCUGUUCCGUCAAGGCACGUCGUAAAACUGAUGACAGACCACAAUAGACGGACGCAGAUUUUAAAAAUUAAUAACUGCAUAGGAAGGCAAUGUAUCUGUGUUUCAUUUUACUACUUCCCCAUAACAAUUAUUACAGACUCUCACAGGUUUCUUA
rnacentral:lncRNA from 1 species